GGCUUACACAUGCAAGUCGAGGGGUAACAGAGGAGCUUGCUCUUGCUGACGACCGGCGCACGGGUGCGUAACGCGUAUACAAUCUGCCUUACACUAAGGGAUAGCCCAGAGAAAUUUGGAUUAACACCUUAUAGUUUAUUUUUAUGGCAUCAUUUAAAUAAUAAAGUUUACGGUGUAAGAUGAGUAUGCGUCCCAUUAGUUUGUUGGUAAGGUAACGGCUUACCAAGACUACGAUGGGUAGGGGCCCUGAGAGGGGGAUCCCCCACACUGGUACUGAGACACGGACCAGACUCCUACGGGAGGCAGCAGUGAGGAAUAUUGGACAAUGGAGGAGACUCUGAUCCAGCCAUGCCGCGUGCAGGAAGACGGUCCUAUGGAUUGUAAACUGCUUUUAUACAGGAAGAAUAAGGACUACGUGUAGUCUGGUGACGGUACUGUAAGAAUAAGGACCGGCUAACUCCGUGCCAGCAGCCGCGGUAAUACGGAGGGUCCGAGCGUUAUCCGGAAUUAUUGGGUUUAAAGGGUCCGUAGGCGGGCUGUUAAGUCAGGGGUGAAAGUUUGCAGCUCAACUGUAGAAUUGCCUUUGAUACUGAUGGUCUUGAAUUAUUGUGAAGUGGUUAGAAUAUGUAGUGUAGCGGUGAAAUGCAUAGAUAUUACAUAGAAUACCGAUUGCGAAGGCAGAUCACUAACAAUUGAUUGACGCUGAUGGACGAAAGCGUGGGUAGCGAACAGGAUUAGAUACCCUGGUAGUCCACGCCGUAAACGAUGGAUACUAGCUGUUUGGAUUUCGAUCUGAGCGGCCAAGCGAAAGUGAUAAGUAUCCCACCUGGGGAGUACGUUCGCAAGAAUGAAACUCAAAGGAAUUGACGGGGGCCCGCACAAGCGGUGGAGCAUGUGGUUUAAUUCGAUGAUACGCGAGGAACCUUACCAGGGCUUAAAUGUAGAUUGACAGGUUUAGAGAUAGACUUUCCUUCGGGCAAUUUACAGGGUGCUGCAUGGUUGUCGUCAGCUCGUGCCGUGAGGG
rnacentral:rRNA from 1 species